CCAGCUUCAAAGCCCGCACCUAUUUAUUGUUUGCACAUGCCUUCCAUAAUUAAGAAAGAAUGUGUCGGGCCAGGGAUUUAGCUCAGUGGUUCCACUGCCUGCCUCACAAGCUCAAGGUCCGCAGUUCAAUCCCCAGUACCAAAAAAAAGAAAGAAAAGAAUAUGUCCACUAAAAGAAUUUCUUGUCAAUAUCAGCUUAGAAAAUGAAACUAAGUGUUCUGUGACAGAGAUAGCUAAGUUAAUGAGGAAACAGAUGAAAUGAGAAUAAACAGUUCUUAAAUGUAAAAACUGUCAAAAACAGGUCUAAUUGCUGAGCAGUCAAGAACAUGGUUUUGUAGUUUUGCAGGUCUGACCAGCAUGGAUUUUAAUUUUGGCUCCAUUACUUACUAGACUUUUCAUCUUUCUGAAGUUACAAAAGCUCUCUGAGCCUGUUUUCUCAUUUAUAAAGAAGUAUAUAAAGAGGGACCGGGGAUUUAGCUCAGUGGUACCACUGCCUGCCUCACAAGCACAAGGUCCCAAGUUCGAUCCCUGGUACCAAAAAAAAAAAGUAUAUAAAGAUAUAUAUAGGACUAAAUGAGGGAACAUAUACAAUUUAUUGUGAAUCUGAUGUACUUAGGCUGUUAAUUAGUAGCUUUACUUAUUUAUUAUUAUCACAACGAGGCCAAGUACUAAUUGCAACCAAGAAAAACCUUCAUGGAUGAAAAGAGUAAAAGGAGAAGUAAAUUUUCCCAGAAAGUUCAGCCGUACAGAAUUCAGGAUUCUCAUUCAUUCCUUCCUCCUCUCUCUUCUGUUCUCUCCCCAUCCUCCGACUUGCUAAACCACAUACAUCACCUCAUUUCAUCUAAACAUAGUUUUUGCCCUUCAUCCACCUAGAAUUCUUCCUGUACUCCCCCUGGCUCACACUCACUUCCUUUCUCCAAGCUUCCCUCUCUAGGCUUGCUCUCUUUUUUCAGGUAAUUUAUUGCCACUUCCUCAGAGAGACCAUGUUCAUGUCCAGGCUUACAGUGCAAAGCAGCCAUCAUGCCAUUCCAUAUCAUACCGCCCUGUUUAAGCUCUCUGUACAGCACUUAGUACCAUCUGAGGUUUUUUUCUUUACUAAGGAUAGGUUUGUGUGGCAUGGUCAAGUUCAGAAAAAUGUGCAAAUUGGAAUGCAAAUUUGGCAGUCAUGAUUCUGCAUUGCUCUGAAUGGUGGCCACUUGAAGGAUGUAGAGCUCAUAACAUGUUAAAUGAAAGUUGACACCAACACUCUGAGUGGGAGGGACACCACGGAAAGGAAAGAAAUUUUGUAGAUCUGAGAUCUGGAUACAAUCCCCACCACGAGGAGGAAGCAGUUGUGAGUUUAAUGUACUUUUGACCUUAACUGAAGUAAAAUUUAGUAAACUGGGUUGGAAAAGAAAAUAGCUUCCUUCCCCAAAAGUCAAGAACAUAGAAGAAAUCUGAAAGUUUUUAUACAAGGACAGCUGAAUAGGUUGAACUUUGCACUAGAGUUCAAGUAGACAAUGGAAUCAUUAUGGAAACCAAAAGACCAAUUAUCUAAGAGGAACUAUCCUAUUUGGGGACUGGACAUGACUUGUGAAUAAAAUAGUACUGCAUAGCAUUGGUAGUGCUAAUAGUUUUUGUUUUGUUUUUUAUGCAAAGUCAGGUGCAAGAAAUCACUUCCUUCACACAUUGCUAGUACAAGUAGGGUAACAUUCCUGGGGAGCAAUUUGCAAUGCAAAGUAAAAGCCUGUCCCUUGACUAAAAGACCAUUUAGAAAAAUUUACCAUAGAAAAUAGUCAUUAAAUUUACUGGUUUUUAGCUUAAAAAAUUGUGACAUCCAAUUUUUCACUAUUUUUGAUCAUUUCCAAAACAUCCAUCAUGAAAGAGGUGACCAAAUAAAUUAAGAUUCAUCCAAUAAUAAAUUCUUACAUAGUUACUGAAAACUCGUUUCAAGGAUUUAUUAAACUUUUCUCAAAUAUUUUUAACUACUAAAAUUCUCACAACAAAAUUUAAAAACCAGAAAACCUAACUUCAAAUGCUAUAUCAGCUUACUAAAAAUUGACACAGAUAUGUCAUUGAGUCCAAAUUAAAAACAUGAAUUGGAUUUAAAUUUUAUUCUAUAAAUCUUGAAUGCUGAUAAUUUCAGUAGUUGAUAGACAUCCACACACAUCACACCCCAUAUACACUCAAGACUAAAUAAAACUAACCCAAUUGUUAACAUAGUUAUGUCUGAGUGAAGAAAUACCAGAGAAUUUUUAUUUCUUUGCCAUCAUUAAAGUUAAGAGUAAUAAAAAUAUAUUCACUAAAAAUAGAAGUUUUUUGUUGCUGUUCUGUUUUUGCUUUUGUUUUGCAGAAAGCAACCUUCUCAACCUUAUUGCGAUUUUUGUAUUGAUUUGUUUGCUGUUUAAACCUACAGUAUUUUGCUGAGAAAGAGGAAUAGAAAAAAAUCAAAAGCUAUAUGCUUUCAGAUCUAAAUACUUACAUUUUUCUAAUUAUUCUCAUGAAAUGUAAUCUAAUUUACUUUAAUUGCAGAUUUCGGGAAGUAGAAGAUAAAGACUGUCAGGAAAUAACAUUAGAAGUGAUAACAGCAGGAGCAAUAGGACCUAGGAGUUCCCAAAAGGAACAUGAAGGAUGUCAUGCCAAAAGGGGCAAAGAGCACAGUCCUCAACUAUGGAAAUAAUUGUGGGCCAAACUGUUAAUGGAAUUUGGGGUGCUGGAGUCUCCUAGAGUACCUGGGAUCGAACUCAGGACCUUGCACUUGGGAGGCAGGCAUGGUGCCACUGAGCUACAUCCCCAGCCCAGGUUUCUGCCCUUUACGUUAUCAACCAAGCUCAACUUUAAAUAUCUCUAAGAGAUUUUUGAUGUGAUGAGUCUGGAAGAAAAAACAAACCAGCCUAAGAAGCUUAAAGAAUCCUAUGAAGGGCAGAUAUGGAUAACAUUGGGUAACUCUGUGUUGUGAAGUUUCAGUGUUCUGAAAAGUACAAUUUUAAAAUGAUGAUUUUCCUGGUCUCUUUCCUUUUUUUAUUUCUAUCCUAUAAAAGAUGAGGAAACCUGAGUAGGAAGACAAGGAGUUAGGAAGAUGUUUGGAAGAAUUCGAAUUCAGAGGAAUGCAUGAGCCAGGCUUGGUGCCACUGUAAAGGUGGCCCAAGGAGCUCUUAUGCUAAUUGGCUCCAAUAGUUUUAUAAUAAAUAAAAUAGACUUUGACCUAAGGACAGCACUACUCUCGUUUGUAUGCAUGAGAUCUUGGGCUCUGUUUUGUCACUCAUUUCUCACUCAUUUCAAGUUCCUGGUUGUGGUUGCUGGAAGUUUGCCUGCCAGAUUGAGAUGGAUAACUGUAACAUAAUAAAUCGUAGUUAUGAGCAAAAAUUGUAAUAUCCACCUUGUAAUACUAUUCUCAAGAACCAGAUGUUUUCAAGAAAAACGCUUCAGUCUCCAAUCUGCCUUACAGUGCACAUCAGUGAAUCUGGCACAAUGCCCAUGAAAGCAAUUUGAUCCCAUAAACCAGGAAAGCUGAGUAAUGAGCAGGUUCUAAAUGCCUUCUUCCGAGUGGUGUAACCAUAGAAUAGAUGGCAAUCAUUAAACCAGGCUGUUUUCAAAUAGUGCUUAUAUUAUUUUUAUCUUUCUUCAAACAAAUUCUUUUGGCAAUGUUAAAGAAACUCUGUUUUUAAAAAAGCAUAAGGAUAUUUUAAGAAGGUAAUUACUACUUCCGUUUCUGCCAGAGGCAGCCUAGUUUUAUUUUUAAGAGUAAAUGAUGUAAGAACUUUAAAAAAAAAGCACUUGAAGUACAAACAAUGCUGUGAAAUAAGUAUUCAGUAGCAACCUCACCUGCAAUGAGACAGGCUAAUCAGUCCUAUUUCAUACUUUAUUUUUUUUCUUUUUAAAUUAAAAAUAUUUUAUUAAUAUAUGUUUGCAGUACAUGUAGUUUACAAUCAUCCUGAUGAAGUGGUACGUGUACAUACUACAACUUGGUUUUUUUUUAAAUCCCCUUCCCCUGCCCCGCAUUUCCCCAUCCUGAUUUUAAUUUUUGUUGAUUUAUUAAUCUUAGCUCAUUUUAUACCAUAUAAUAUUUAUGUUCAUUGAGGUUAUUAUGUUCCUGUUCAUGGCAUAUCUUUAUUCUACUUAUUUACUAAGCUUAAGAAAUUUAAAGGAAAAAAUGAACUAAAAGUCUAAGCAGUUUAAUAAAUGCUCUUUUCAUGUGCUUUAAGUUAAAUACUUACAAUUGUUUUAGUGAAUUAAAUUUUCUCUCUGGCAUAUAGUUUCUUUAAAUUUUUUCAGCCUAACUUUAGAAGUCACAAAUUGUAGAAGAUAAUCUGAAAGAAUUUACAGAGGCAGGGGAAAUUCCAGUGUACUGAGACAACCCAAAAGCAAAUUUGAAAUGAUUGAACACAUAUCACACAAGGGGAAGAAAUGGGACAAAGGAGAUAUGUCUGGAUUUUGAUGUCACUUCUCUGUAUUAAACACAUAAAUCUAGAGCCUCUUAUAAAGUGCAGUAUCUUGUAUGUCUUGGGUUAUUGUUCUCCUCAUACCUCUCUUAAAAUGUCAAAUGCUCCUUAUUCUAGUUCCAAUAAAAAUUUUUUUCCACAAAAAGAC
ensembl:lncRNA